rnacentral:lncRNA from 1 species
UCAUGUGUAGUCAAGGGGUUCAACUCGGAUGGUACAAGAGUUCACGACAGCAUAGUAAAUUAGCUUCUGACUAAGGUCAGUAAAGUUUUUGAAUGCUUUUAUUGAUAGAAGAGAUAUUGUUUCAAUAGUAGUCAUAUUAAUAUUAUUUAGUUUAAAAACAGCAACCACUUCCAAGUGUUUAUUUGUUUUUGUCAUCAUCAUUACUACUCCAAUUGUCCAAUAAUUCCUAAUCUAGAUCACUCCCCCUUCACCUGUGUGUCCUUGUUAAACAAAAUUAAAAAUCCCAAGCCAAAGGAACUUGGCAUGCUAUCUGCCCU